GCCUAAUACAUGCAAGUCGAGCGGACAGAAGGGAGCUUGCUCCCGGAUGUUAGCGGCGGACGGGUGAGUAACACGUGGGUAACCUGCCUGUAAGACUGGGAUAACUCCGGGAAACCGGAGCUAAUACCGGAUAGUUCCUUGAACCGCAUGGUUCAAGGAUGAAAGACGGUUUCGGCUGUCACUUACAGAUGGACCCGCGGCGCAUUAGCUAGUUGGUGGGGUAAUGGCUCACCAAGGCGACGAUGCGUAGCCGACCUGAGAGGGUGAUCGGCCACACUGGGACUGAGACACGGCCCAGACUCCUACGGGAGGCAGCAGUAGGGAAUCUUCCGCAAUGGACGAAAGUCUGACGGAGCAACGCCGCGUGAGUGAUGAAGGUUUUCGGAUCGUAAAGCUCUGUUGUUAGGGAAGAACAAGUGCGAGAGUAACUGCUCGCACCAUGACGGUACCUAACCAGAAAGCCACGGCUAACUACGUGCCAGCAGCCGCGGUAAUACGUAGGUGGCAAGCGUUGUCCGGAAUUAUUGGGCGUAAAGGGCUCGCAGGCGGUUUCUUAAGUCUGAUGUGAAAGCCCCCGGCUCAACCGGGGAGGGUCAUUGGAAACUGGGAAACUUGAGUGCAGAAGAGGAGAGUGGAAUUCCACGUGUAGCGGUGAAAUGCGUAGAGAUGUGGAGGAACACCAGUGGCGAAGGCGACUCU
rnacentral:rRNA from 2 species